rnacentral:lncRNA from 1 species
UAUGGAAUUGGCUUACGCUCGCCACAAGCUACUUCAAGAUCACAUCAAUACAACAACAUAUUCAAACACCAUGUAUAAGAGCAGGGUCCUACUAUAGACAAAAUCAAAAAUAAAAGAACGAUGUCCAUCCUUGCUAUCCCAGGCUGUCGACCUCGAACCCAUCCUAGAUCAAUGAAGUAGUAGUAGAAGAAGAAACUCCGAAUAGCACAAUCACCGCACUCACGUCAAAGUAUCACUUUACCUGUACCUGCAACUGUUGUUGUAGUAAUUUGUGAGCCAUAAGGACUGAACAAUCUCAUUUCCAAAGAUAUCAAGACUAGCAAAGCUUAAUGGGUGAGGUAUGGUUAAGUAGUGAGGCUGCAACAAGCAACUAAGCAUUUAUUUGAGUGGCUAACUUACAGGUACAAGAAUAAAAGGGGGAUGAUCUACACAUAACAGAUGUGAACUAAUAAUGAUUAUGAAGUGAUCCUGAACACCUACUUACGUCAAACAAAACCCCAACGUGUCCUCGUCUGGAUGUAGAACUUGCGAUUAGAGACAGUCACGGUUACGCACACAAUUGGCAGUUUUAAUUAAGUUUACUUCAGGUUAUCUAGAAUCGUAUGUUAAACAAAGUUCCCAAGUUUGCCACAUAACCGCGGGCACAACUUUUUGAAAGAUUUAAUCCUGCAGGGGUGCUCCAACUAGUCCCUCACAAACUACCACAUGCUGCGUCGGAAACCUCGACCGCGGAAAAACACAUGAUCUCCUCGGAUUCCUGGUGGGAAAACCUCAACCUCAAGAUAGCCCAAAGUAUCCUCGGAAUCCCUCGCACAAGACGUUUGAGAUGAGUAAAACAAGUCUGGCAAAGCCACCCGGUGAGCCAGAUCCGCAUCUAGAGUCGCGCGCUCUCUAUCUACGGGCGUCAACCGUCUAUACAAAGUGGACGAUAGCCAGAAAAUGCCUCGAGUUGCCCCGAGGUGGCACCACCGAUUACUAGGUAGGUGGACCAACACUCAUGAGGAGAAGUGGCCCGCGGGUUGAUUAAUUAUCCAUGGGUUAAUUACUCCCUAUGCAAUUCAUUAGUAAUUAGGUAAAUGUAGUACUAAUGUUGGGCCUUGCCAGACGAGUUUUAUGCCAAAACAAAAAUCUAGGGGGUCUCCAUAACAAUCCCAAGCAUGUUAGGAGCGCUCAAUUAUGGAACAUAACACCGAUAGCCGAAACUAUGGCAGAAAGAUGGAACAAAACACCAAGCUAGAAAGCCAAGCCUUCCCCCUUUUACCAAAUAUAUAGGUGCAUUAAAUUAGUUAGCAAUAAUAUGAUGAUAUAACAAAGAACCCAUGUUUUCACAUGGAAGCAACUAGACCUACAAUUAGCAACGUUAUAAGAAUUAUGAGAAGCCGUAACGUAACCAAGCAGUGGUUUGUUGGGUUGUGGAAAGGUUAGAGGUUUUUCUUGGCAAUGUUGGGACGCUUAUUAUACAGGUGGUAGGCAUCGAGACAUAACAAAAUAAACGAGUCAAUGAGCAUGGCAAUGAUAGUAAUAUUAUCUAGGGAAUUGGUCAACUUGCCUAUGAUCCCGCUUGGAAGAAGAAUGGAUCCAUGAAGCAAAAUAACCAACUAGUCGAACAGAUCCUCACACUCUGAUACGCUUGUGGAACUCUAUCGAGAAGAAGAAAUCCAUAAAUAACAAUCAACACAUGAUAACACCACACAUAAUCAUGACAAGAUGCAAAAUCAAUUAUGAUGCAUGUCCGUUUAAAUUAUGCAAGGCAUGUCAAAGCACAACUAUUUGUUACUACACAUUAAAUGAAUCUCAAUAUGCAAGUUGUUGCAUAUUAACAAAAUUCCGUAUUUAACUACUUAGUUCGCUCCUGUUUAGGUAAAUAACAAUAUUAAAUUUUGUUACACAUGGAAAGAGGUGAAGCAUAAAUAAACUACACUAUCUACGCAUUUUAAGUGAGGUCGGAAACAACUUAUAGAAUUUCCGAAACGACCCCACAUGUUAAUUUCGAAAUAUGUCCACAUCUUAACUAAACACAUUAUAUUUUUUAAGUAGAAAAAUUAAGUGGAACAUGUGUUUCUACACGUCAUUCUAGUCAGUUUACAUAUAUGGAUCAUCUAAAACGGGGAUACGGUUUAAAAGAUACGAGCAACACAAGAUGAUGACAUGGAUGCGAAAGGCAUUCAAAAGACAGCAACAACAUGUUAAUCAUUGAUGCAACGAGAUAUUAUGAGGCUACAUGAUAUUCUACACAAGUUUAAAUCACACCGGAACAAAAAAUAACAAUUCCAGAAAGUCCCCAUCAUGUUAAAGCACACCUAUUUGUUACUACACAUUAAAUGAAGUCCAUAUGCAACUCAUUGCAUAUUGAUAAAACUCCAUAUUUAGUUACUUAGUUUGCUCCGUUUAGGUACAAAACAAUAUUAAAUAUUGUUACACAUGGCAAGCAGUGAAGCAUAAAUAAACUACACUAUCUAGGCAUUUUAAAUGAGGUCAGAAACAACGUAUAGCAUUUCCGAAACGACCCCACAUGUUAAUUUUGAGAUCUGUCUAGAUGUGAAGUAAACACAUUUAUAUUUAUUACACAUCAAAUAAAGUGGAACAUGUGAUUCUACACGUCAUUCUAGUCGGUUUACAUAUAUGUAUCGGGUUUAAAAGAUAUGAGCAACACAAGAUGAUGACAUGGAUGCGAAAUGCAUGCAAAACACAGUCGCAACUUGUUAAUCAUGGAUGCAACAUGAUAUUCUCAGGCUACAUGAUAUUUAACACAAGUUUAAAUGAGGUCGGAACAACAAAUAACAAUUCCGUAAAGUCCCCAUAUGUAAUUUUGAAUUUGCUACAGAUCUUCCUAAAACACAAUUUUAGAGUUGUUAAAUAGGAAAAUAUACCGCCAUGUUGUUCUACACAUUUUUCUAACCAAGUUACAUAUGUGAAACAUUUUAAUAGGAGCUACGGUUAAUUAACUAUGAGACAAACCGUUUUAACAUGGUAUUGGUGCAAAUUAAAUUAAAACAACAAGUUAAACAUUUUAAACACACAUGGAAGUUGGUUAAUAUUACUCUACACGAAAAUAUGGACUACUUACAUGUUGAAAUCGUUUUAAUUUCACUUACGUUAUAUAGUGAUGAAAAUCCAAAAAAAUUAAUUUCCCAUAUGAGCCUAAACAAUUUACAUGCACUUCAUCUAGACAAAAGAGUAUCUAAACAUUUUAAAUAAAUGUAAAAAUUGUACCAACGGAAAAUAGAUCAAAUUCUGAGCAUUAUCCAUAUAAAACUUCUUUACAUUGGGAAAAUCAUUUGAAUGUUGAAACCGUUUUCAAAAUGUAUGCAAUCUCCCAUGGUAAAAUGUUUAACUUGUAAAUUAAACAAGAACAAGACAGAUAUCUAUGUACCGGUUCCGUAGAUUGACAUGGUAGGACAGCUUGAGAUUGCGGAGCUCCUCACGUUUCACAUUGACUUUGAUCCUGAGAUAGUGGCUCAGUUCUUUGUUACAGUCCACUUCCACUCUAAUGCGGCACGCACUAUGACUUGGAUGACCAAUCGGGAGUGGUUGUUUGCUACUUGGAAGGAGUUUAUGGAUUUUCUAAACGUUCGUGAUGAGGGGCUUGAGCACGCACUUGGUUUGCGCCCAUGAUACGUCUCCGUGGUAUCUACUUUUCCAAACUCUUUUGCCCUUGUUUUGGACUCUAAUUUGCAUGAUUUGAAUGGAACUAACCCGGACUAACGAUGUUUUCAGCAGAAUUGCCAUGGUGUUGUUUUUGUGCAGAAAUAAAAGUUCCUGGAAUGACCUGAAAAUUUACGAAGAAUUUUCUGGAAUUAACGAAAAAUACAUGCGCAAAGAUCUACCGGAGGGGGUGAGCCAGUGGGCCACAAGCCCAGGGGGCACGGCCACCCCCCUGGCCGCGCCAUGAGGGCUUGUGGGGCCCACGAGGCUCCACCGCCUCCAUUCUCAGCUCUAUAUAUUCUGGUUCGCCCGGAAAAAAAUCAGGGAGAAGGAUUCAUCGCGUUUUACGAUACGGAGGCGCCGCCACCUCCUGUUCUUCAUCUGGAGGGCAGAUCUGGAGUCCGUUCUGGGCUUCGGAGAGGGGAAAUCCUCGCCAUCGUCAUCAUCAACCUUCCUCCAUCGCCAAUUCCAUGAUGCUCUUCACCGUUCGUGAGUAAUCUCAUCGUAGGCUUGCUGGACGGUGAUGAGUUGGAUGAGAUCUAUCAUGUAAUCGAGUUAGUUUUGAUGGGGAUUGAUCCCUAGUAUCCACUAUGUUCUGAGAUUGAUGUUGCAACUACUUUGCCAUGCUUAAUGCUUGUCACUAGGGCCCGAGUGCCAUGAUUUCAGAUCUGAACCUAUUAUGUUGUCGCCAAUAUAUGUGUGUUUUAGAUCCUAUCUUGCAAGUUGUAGUCACCUACUAUGUGUUAUGACCCGGCAACCCCGGAGUGACAAUAGCCGGAACCACUCCCGGAGAUGACCAUAGUAUGAGGAGUUCAUGUAUUCACCACGUGUUAACGCAUUGGUCCGGUUCUUUAUUAAAAGGAGAACCUUAAUAUCCCAUAGUUUCCAUUAGGACCCCGCUGCCACGGGAGGGAUGGACAAUAGAUGUCAUGCAAGUUCUUUUCCCUAAGCACGUAUGACUACAUACGGAAUACAUGCCUACAUUAGAUUGAUGAACGGGAGCUAGUUACUUAUCUCUCUAUGUUAUAGCUGUUACAUGAUGAAUCACAUCCGGCAUACCCAUCCAUCACCGAUCCAAUGCCUACGAGUCUUUUACUACUGGUCCUUGCUAUGUUACUUUGCCGCUACUGCUGUCACUAUUGCUGCUGUUACUCUGUCGCUACUGUUGUUACUUUGCUGCUACUGGUUACUGUUGCUACUGUUGCUAUCAUAACACCUUGCUACUGAUACUUUGCUGCAGACACUAAAUCUUUCAGGUGUGGUUGAAUUGACAACUCAACUGCUAAUACUUGAGAAUAUUCUUUCGCUUCCCCUUGAGUCGAAUCAAUAAAUUUGGGUUGAAUACUCUACCCUCGAAAACUAUUGCGAUCCCCUAUACUUGUGGGUUAUCAAGACUAUUUUCUGGCGCCGUUGUCGGGGAGGCAUCAAGUCAGGAAUAGUUGCCCGUCAACAGGAAUUUUCUGGCGCCGUUGCCGGGGAGGCAUCAAGUCAGGAAUAGUUGUCCGUCAAUAGGAAUUUUCUGGCGCCGUUGUCGGGGAGGCACAUCUAUAUUCUCUGGGUCACUUGGGAUUUAUGUCUGCUGGUCACUAUGAGGAAUCUGAUUGAUCCAAGAACUAAAGUCUUGCCCUCAACUAUGAGGACAGGUAAGGAACUGCCAUCGAGCUCCGCACUUGAUUCACCUUCAGUUAUGAGUAAGUUUGCAACACAACCUCGUGCUAGAAAUCUUGAUAUGUCGCCUGUGCCUGAUGAUGCUAUGCUUGAUACUGCUUUGCCUGAUAAUGCUAUGCUUGAUACUGCUUUGCCACUAGGUGCAUUCCUUGAUGCGCAAAUUGCUAGAGUUGCUGCUAGAUGUGAUCAUACUUCUGAAACUGCUGAUACUAUUGAAGUAGAACCUGCUAUUUUGCCUGCUAGAACUAGCUCUCCUAGAAAUGAAUUGCCUGAUAUGCCUGAGCGUUAUGUUAUGGAGGGAGAUAUAGCUGAGGACUUUCUUGCUUGUAAGGAUAGCUAUCAUGUUGAGAAAUUACUGCUCAAGUGGAAAAAAAAUCUCUCAACGCUAGGAUGAAAUAUGACCCGAAGUUUGCUACUUCGCCUAUCUUUGUCACCGAUAAGGAUUAUGAAUUCUAUGUCGACCCUGAGUUAAUCACUCUGGUCGAAUCUGAUCCUUUUCACGAUUAUGAGUCUUAAACGGUCGUAGCACAUCUGACCAAACUGCACGAUAUAGCCACCCUAUUCACUAGUGAGGAAAAUAUCCGCCACUACUAUAUCCUCAAGCUGUUUCCUUUCUCGCUAAAGGAUGAUGCUAAGACUUGGUUCACUUCUCUUACUCCUUGUUGUGUGCGUAGGCCCCAAGAUAUGGUCUACUACUUCUCUGAAAAAUAUUUUCAUGCCCAUAAGAAGCAAGCUGCCUUGCAGGAAAUAUACAACUUUGCUCAAACUGAAGAAGAGAGUCUCCCACAAGCUUGGGGGAGGCUCGUCCAGCUACUAAAUGCUUUUCCUGAUCACCCUCUUGAGAAGAAUGAAAUACUUGAUAUCUUCUAUAAUGGACUUACCGAUGCUUCUAGAGACCACCUAGAUAGUUGUGCCAGUUGUGUUUUUAGGGAAUGAACUGUAGAACAAGCUGAGAUCCUAUUGAAUAACAUCCUGUGCAAUGAGAAUGCCUGGACUAUUCCCGAACCACCUCCUAAGCCAACUCCGAAGAAAAGAUGUAUUCUAUUCCUCAGUCCUGAAGAUAUGCAAGAAGCUAAGAAAUCUAUGCGAGAGAAAGGCAUUAAAUCUGAAGAUGUCAAAAAUCUACCACCUAUCGAAGAGAUCUAUGGUCUCGAUAACCCGAUACAGGUAGUAGAAGUAAAUUCUUUGCGUAGGUUUGAUGAGAGUGAUAUUCCUUUUGAUAAACCUGCUAGCCUAUGCCUGGAUGAAUUUGAUAACUUUGUUGCCAAACAACAGAGUUUCAAUGAUUAUAUUAGCAGACAAUUGGAACAGAAUGCUUGUAUGCUUAGUCAUUUAAGUGCUUGUGUGGACAGAAAUGUCAAUGAUCUUAAGCUCCUGAGUAAACAUGCCUCUAUGGUUACUACUCAGGUAGAACAAGUACUUAAAUCACAGAUAGACUUGCUCAACGAGUUGAAUGACAAUUCCGUUAGAGUCGUUACUAGAGGCAGUAGAAUGACCCAGUAACCUCUGUAUCCUAAGGGUCAUCCGAAGAGAAUUGAACAAGAUUCUCAAGGAGUUAGCACUGAUGCACCUAGUCAUCCUAGAAAGAAGAAGCAAGAUGAUAGGGAUGUGCACGCUAGCAACCCUGUUGCUGCUACACCUGAGAGUCCAAACGAUGCCUCUGUCUCUGAUGUUGAAACACAAUCUGGCGAUGAACAUGAGCCUAAUGAUAAUAUCAAUAGUGAUGGUCAUGUUGAUGCUCAACCUAGCAAUGAUAAGGAUGUGGAGAUUGAACCUGUUGAUCUUGAUAACCCACAGCCUAAGGCUAAGAGAUAUGAUAAGAAUGACUUCACUGGUAGGAAGCAUGGUAAAGAAAGGGAACCAUGGGUUCAGAAACCCAUGCCAUUUCCUCCCAAACCAUCCAAGAAAAAGGAUGAUGAGGAUUUUAAGCGAUUCGUUGAAAUGAUCAUACCUGUCUUUCUGCAAAUGUGUUUGACAGAUAUGCUCAAAAUGUCUCCGUAUGCUAAGUACAUGAAAGAUAUUGUGACCAAUAAUAGGAGGAUACCUGAGGUUGAGAUUUCCACCAUGCUUGCUAAUUAUACCUUCAAGGGUGGAACUCCUAAGAAACUAGGUGAUCCCGGUGUGCCCACUAUACCUUGCUCCAUUAAAGGUAACUACGUGAGAACUGCUUUAUGCGACCUUGAAGCCAGCGUUAGUGUUAUGCCUCUCUCUCUUUACCGUAGACUUGAACUGGAUAAGUUGACACCCACUGAAAUCUCUCUGCAAAUGGUCGACAAAUCAACUGCUUUCCCUAUCGACAUUUGCGAGGAUGUGCCUGUUGUGGUUACGAACGUCAAUAUCUUAAUAGACUUUGUUAUUCUGGAUAAUCCCGAGGAUGAUGCCAUGGCGGUCAUCCUCGGAAGACCCUUUUUAAACACUGCAGGGGCUGUUAAAUAUUGCAACAAAGGCAAUGUCACUUUCCAUGUCAACGGUAAUGAGCAUACGGUGCACUUUUUGAAGAAACAAUAUCAAGUACAUUGCAUCAAUGCUAUCGAAAAAACUUCAUCGAUUCUUAUUGGGAGCUUUGAAUGCCCUAUUCCUCGUGUCAAGAUGAAGUAUCAUUUGCUUGUUCGGGAAAUACAUAUCCCCAUUGAGGUGACCUAGUGACUAUUCGGAAAUUCUCCGUUCUCUUUUGCAAUUCAAAUUUUUGUUGUCAAAGAGGCUUGAUAAAGCUCACUGACGGAUUUCUUUCGAUGAUCAUGAGAUGGAUGAAUCGAGGAGUCACAAACCUCUGUGCCAAGCUUUCACCUUCGGUUGCUUAGAAGAAAAAUGAUAGGUUUAGUUUAGUUUUCCCUGUUUUCUGUUUUAGCGUCCGGUAGAAAAGUACUCCGAAAAUAGAAGUUCUCCGAACGUCCUGAAAAUCAAGUAUGAUUUUUUCUGGAUUUUUUGAAAAAUUCUGAGACAAAGAGCUUGUCUAGGGGUUGCACCAGUGGGCUACAAGCCCUUGGGGCGCGGGCACCCCCCUGGCCGCACAACCCAGGCUUGUGGGGCCCACAGGCACCCCCUCCACUCAUUCUUGCUCUCAUCUGGUUCUCCUACCUCGAAAAAAAAUCGUUUCGCAGCUCAAACCCGUGUUCUUGCUCCUCUUGCUAGGAUUUUCGAUCUCUUUGCGCAAAUCACCAUUCUCCGAACUUUUUGGGGAAAUUACUCCUUGGUAAGUGACUCCUGCAUUGGUCCAACUAGUUUUUGCUCUAGUGCCUUAUACUCCGCGUAUGUUUGCUGCCAUGGUGACCAUGUUCUUGAGCUUUGCAUGCUGAUUUUAGCUGGUCCCAAGUAGUUUUGAUGUGUAAUAUGGCCUCUAGGCACUUGUGGGAGUAGUUGCUACGAGUUUACAUGAGCCUUGUUCACUUUUCCUUAGAAUCACUAAAAAUUUCAGCAAUUUUCAGAGAUAGAAAAGGGAAAAAAUGAGGAGGUUCUUAAGAGGCUCUUCAAGCCGUGACCCCAAGGAUGAUGGAAGUGAGAAGAAGCCCAAGUAUCUGGUCCCUCGAGUCGCACAAGUUUGAGCUUGUGAGUGGCCAAGCGACGUGUUCUUACGCGCCGCUGGAAUUUAUGAGGACUUUUAUCACUUGGUGGAGAACGCAGGCCUUACAGCUUUCAUCGAUACAAUUGUUGUAGGAGAGGAGAGAGGAGUGUCUUGCGCUAGAGCUGCUAGCAUUCAUUUUCCCGUGCUUCGGUACUUCUCACUUUUUGUGGGAAAGUGUUUGAUUGGCCGUGGGAAAGAUGGGUCACUUAGUUCCCCAGAUCUUGCGGUCUUGCGUGAAGCCCUUUAUAAUGAUAAAACUUAUAGCUUGGGCACUAUAGUAGCUCAACGGUUGAAUACGAACCAUUCUAAGGGCAUUGUCUAUGGAGGUAUCUAUGCUACUCGUCUUGCUAGACACUUUGAGAUACCUAUUAGACUGGAGGAGGAAGAAGAGAUUCUUCUUCCCGAGAGAUAUCUAGAUUAUGAUAGCAUGGUUCGCCAUGACUUUCUUGAUAGAGAUAUAAAUAGAAGGAUGAUUUAUAACCUGGUAUUUAGUCAGGGUACUCGUGAGACUAUUACUUUGCCUGCUCCUUCUUUGUUCAAUCUUCAUGCAGGCACGUACAUUAUUAUGCCCUCGGACAUCUACAUGCUUACUUAGCCACUGGAGGAGGGCAUUGAUAAGACGAUUGAUUAAGCAAAAGGACUAGCACUCUCAUAUGAAUAUGAGAUCACUACUUAGAAAAGAUCUGAAAUCACCACUUGACAUCGAAGCAACUUGAAUUACCAUAUUCCAACAAAACAAAGGGUGAGGCUUGCAAAUUAGCCACAACAAACUCAUGAGAAAGAUUUCCGUUCGAUAUUUUCGUGGACAGGAUCGCACGGGCCCGAUCCUUACAGUAGCCAUCAAGUGCAAGGCAGUGCACCCGACAUACGAAGCGUCCCCGAGUCGUAGAAAGCUACAAGGACUCUUUAAGACACAACGUGAACCGCUGUAAGUCGACCGUCAACAAACGAAUCCACUAGAUGUCGAACGCCAACCUAACAUCAUGCAUUUGUUGGAAGAUUGUCCUAUAAGCAACUACUUGAAUUCCCAGCUAAGAAUUCCUGCAAUUUCUGGUCAUGCAAUCUGGUACACGGAUACAAGGAGUAAUAAUCACACAACUCCUAUACUAACCCGUCACUUGUAUCACAUCCUUCAACACAUAACAAGAAUCUUGGACCUUCAUCUACAAUAGACCUCGUGAUCACAACGAUACAAAGUAUGGCAGUACUCCAGAACAAUCUGCACCAGUACUGGGGACAUUGGGGUUAUCUCGCCACUACUAGUAUUGAAGCAAUUACGAACAUCCUUUGUCCUGAGAUACUAAGAAAUUUGAAUGAUAACGAUGUGCUCGAGAAUCCCCUGGAGCUCAACUCCCCGGAAGAAAUCAAGUCAGACAAGAGGCACCAAGACAGAACUUCGUCACAUCGACAUCAUAUAGGUUCCAAAAAUAUCCACGUGAUCCUAAAAAAAUUGAGUGAGAAGAGGAGUAGAAUAAAUUAUUACGUCAAGAUUCCUCACCAGAGCAUAGAAGAGGAGAAAAAAGAAUCCUACUCUCUGAUAUAUAACUAAGACUCAAAUAGUUUUUCACUAGACUCGACUCGGCCAAGUUCGAUCAAUCAAGGGGGCUCCUAGGCCGGUACUGCUCUGAUACCAACUUGUCAUGCCCAAGAUGCGACCCUAUCCUUAAUUUGGCACGAGGGCCUCGUCAGGGAUAGAAGCGCAUCUCGUCGUUUUGCAAGAAUGGAUAUUGUUACAAGUAUAUGUACUGAAAAGAAGAGAUAUAUAGAAUUGGCUUACACUCGCCACAAGCUACAUCAGAGUCACAUCAGUACAAUACAUAAUCAUCAUGAAUAAGAGCAGGGUCCGACUACGGACGAAAACAAACGAGAAAAGAAGAACGGCGUCCAUCCUUGCUAUCCCAGGCUGCAGGCCUGGAACCCAUCCUAGAUCGAUGAUGAAGAAGAAGAAGAAGAAGCAACUCCAAAUGAACAAUCAACGCGCUCAUGUCAAAUAACCUUUACAUGUACCUGCAACUAGUGUUGUAGUAAUCUGUGAGCCAUGGGGAACUCAGCAGUCUCAUUUCCAAAGGUAUCAAGACUAGCAAAGCUUAGUGGGUGAGGUAAGGUUAACCGGUGAGGCUGCAGCAGGCGGUUAAGCAUUAUACGGUGGCUAACUUACGAGUACAAGAAAUAAGAGGGGGAAGAACUACGCAUAACGGACGUAACUACUAAUGAGCAAAUGAAUGAUCCUGAACACCUACCUAUGUCAGGCAAAACCCCACCGUGUCCUUGAUCGGAGAAGGAACUCACGAAAGAGACAGUCACGGUUACGCACACAGUUGGCAUAUUUUAAUUAAGUUAACUUAAAGUUAUCUAGAACCAGUGUUAAACAAAGUUUCCACGUUGCCACAUAACCGCGGACAUGGCUUUCCGAAAAUAUUUAACCCUGCAGGGGUGCUCCAACUAGUCCAUCAGAAAUUACCACAAGCCGCAUAGAAAUCCUCGAUCACGACACUCGCAAUCUCAUCGGACUCCUUAGUGGAAAACCUCAACUCUGAGAUUACCCAAAGCAUCACCGGAAUCCCGAUGCACAAGAUAUUUCGUCAAAGAUAAAACUAAUCCAGCAAGACCGCCCGACGUGUCGACGAUCGCGAUAGGAGCCGCGUAUCUCGUUCUCAAGACACGACGGAUGGGUCACACUAGGAGAAACCAAACCUCGGGUUGCCCCGCGGUGGCCCCGUAGUCUGCCAGUUUGGACCAACACUCAUGAGGAGCACUGGCCCGGGGGUUGAUUAAAUUAUCCUCGGGGUCCGGAAAGUCCGUAUGCAAUCUAAUUAGGCGUUUAGGAAAAUGUAGUACCAAAGUUGGGCCUUGCCAGACCAGUCUUAAUCUAAAACGAAUUAUCAAGUGGGUCCCCAUAACAACCCCGGUCGUGUUAGGAGCGCUCAAAUAUGGAACAUAACACCGGCAACCGAAACUAAGGGGGCAAAGGUGGAACAAAACACCAGGCUAGAAAGGCCGAGCCUUCCACCUUUUACCAAGUAUAUAGGUUCAUUAAAUUAAAUAACAUUUAAUAGGGUGAUAUAACAAGGAACCCAUGUUAUCACAUGGAAGCGACUGCACUUGCAACUAGCAACGCUAACACAGGGUUAAGCAAGCGGUAACAUAGCCAAUCAGUGGUUGGCUAGGUUGAACAGGUUGAAGGUUUUCAAGGCAUUAUUGAGAGGCCGAUAUUUAACAUGUGGUAGGCAACGAGACAUAAUCGAUAGAAGCGAUAAAACUAGCAUCACAAUGAUAGUAAUGGUAUCUAGGGAAAUGGUCAUCUUGCCUGAGAUCCCGGGUGGAAGAAGAAUGACUCCGUGAAGCAGACGAACCGAUGUAGUCGAAAGAGUCCUCACUUUCCGACACG